rnacentral:tmRNA from 1 species
GGGGGUGAAUUUUGGUUUCGACGGGAUUAGAGAAGCAUAGAACUGCACAUCGUGUUCCCCAAAGUACACGUAAAACAAUUGGGAAUAAAACAAUAACUGGCGAAAAUAACUACGCCUUAGCUGCGUAAUAAAGACGCAGCCGUUCUCUAAAUUUUCUCAUAUCGGGAUUUAGAAGAACGUCGUUUAGAUAUGAUAUCCAAAUCUAUCGCCCUUAUAGAGGAGAUGAAUCCAUUAAUGGGUAAGCUUAAGGUGAUGCGUGCCUGUCCGGUAGCUUUAAGUUAAAUUAAAUGACAGACUAUAUGUGUAGAUGUUCUUUGGAUCUUAAUCUCGGACGCGGGUUCGACUCCCGCCACCUCCACA